UAGGCUUUGAAUUUCAUGGGUAAUGUUUUGUUUUUGAAUGCAUGCAAGCAUGAUUCCGCCUUUAAUUGUUAAUUGCAUGCUAUAUGAUGUUAUUCAAAUGAACAUGUUUUCACAAAAUCAUCCUUCAAGUGAUUCUUGUGUGUGUGUGUGCCAAAGUCUUUAAUAAGGCACGGGUAGAAAAGAAAAAAAAAAUUCGUGAAGAAAAGAAUGAAAAAAAAAGAAAAGUGUGAAAAGUAUGAAAAAGAGUUGAAAAAGAUGUGAAAAAGAGCUCUAAAGUGUUGUUGUUUGUUGAAGAAAGGGUCCAAAAAGUUAAAUUCGGCCCUAAGUGUUGCAUGAACCUUCCCUUUGUGUUUAAAAGUUGAUUUCUGCAUUCUAAAGUGAAUUCUAAGUUUCGAUUUCAUUACUUUGCUUGCUAUUGCUUUAAGAACGUUUUGUUAUCCCUAUCUUUCCUUUGUUAACCAAUAGCCCAAGCCCCGUUACAACCCUUGUCUUCUAUCUUGAGUGUUUGUGCUUCAAUUUGUGGAGUUUGAACUUGGUAUGAGCAUAUGGUGUCACUGGUUCUCACAUCUAAGUAGUAGCAUUCCAUUCAUGAGAUCAUAUCUAAACAUGCUUAUUAACUCCAGAAAUUGCUUUCUUUGUUAUAACAUAUGUGAGUACUAGUUUUUCAUGUUUACAUCAAUCUUCUCACAUAUAACUAGUAUAGGGUGUGUAGUCUGAAAAUCUAUGUGAAAAUUGAGUGCAUAUCUAGUAAGGAAUUGAGGGAAUUCUCUAAGGCAUAUUACUACAUUCAAAACAUCGUUUUAAUUGGUUAAUGGUGAACUAGUAAGUGGUGACUAUGAUUAAGUAUGUGCUCAAGUGUGAAGAUGACUAAAAUCUGUGGGGAUGAUGAUUUUUAACAUGUUAUGUGCAUUGGAAAUCCUUGAGGCAAACGUUGGAAGGUUUAGGUUGUGUUUUGUUUGUUUUGUUUCGUUUUGUUUUCUUGAGUUCGUUUUGUUUUGCUCGAGGACUAGCAAACGCUAAGUGUGGGGGAAUUUGAUAGGAGCAUAUUUAUGCGACUUAGUUAGCUUGUUCUUGUGCAUUUACGUUGUGUUUUCUUAGUUAAGUUAGUCUUUUAAGCCACUUUCAUGUGUUUUCAGGUUUUAAAGGCAAAGUAUGCAAAGAAGUGUAUUUUGGAGUCUUUUGGAGCAAAAUUGAGCUUGGAAUGAAUGGCACGUGUUUAGAACAAAAGGAAUGGAUGAAAUUGAAGAUUUGAAGAUGUGAGGAAUCCUAAUUGAAGAAGGAUUCCUAAUCAACGAAGGAGUCCUAAUCGAAGAAGGAUUCCUAAUCAACGAAGGACUCCUAAUUGAAGAGGAUUCCUAGAAGAAUGAAGAUUCCUACUCAAACAAGGUUUUCUACUUGAAGUAGGAAAGUUAAGCCUAAAGU
rnacentral:lncRNA from 1 species